rnacentral:lncRNA from 1 species
UAAUAUUUGCAUGUUUCUUAGCCGCAAGGCCUUGUUAUAUUUUCAGGAUGGAAACAGCAUUUAUGAAACCAAAUCUGCAAGAGUGACGUUAUCAUGAGGAAUAGGAUAAUCAUUUCAAUUGUCAAAUUCUAGGACCAUAUUAUAAGAGAUGCCAUGCCAAAGGAUGAGGAUGCUAGGCUGUUAGAGUUAUGACCUUUUGCUUUGAUUCUUCCACAGUUCUUCAGAAUCUUGAUGACUCAGGUACAAUUGAAAAUAUUAUUAAUUAUGUGUUUUUAUAUGGUCCAAGCCUUUGUGCAGAUAGCACUUGUAGGAAAAAUACUUGUUAGUGAUAGCUAGGCUGUGGGACCACAAAUCUGCUCCUCGGGAGGAGUGCUCCUUUGGAGAGAAAGGGAUGUACAAAUGAAGAAAGACAGACAUAGUGUUAAGGAGGGUUGGUGAAGAAAGAAAAAAGGCCCUUAAGAAGAUGCGUGGAAGUUGCGAGGAACGAUUUAAAAGUGCCCAGUCAUAUGGAAUUUAUAUACCUUGCUAGGAAGGCAAUUAUACUGACAUUCUGUCCCACUUCAAUAUAGUUAGAUCGAACAGACUUAAUAAAUGAAAAAUCCACCCCUGUCUAUCUCUAGCAAUGUUAUGAGGGAUAACAUGUCUGAGUUUGAAUGUGAUCAAGAAUGUCAGGUUGGGAAUAUUUUUGCCUUAACAUAAGAAUAUCCUACAUUGUAUUAAUCAUACUCCUCGAGAUUAACUCUACAUACUCAAUCAGGAUAGCAGUACUUUACGAAUUGAUUGUCUGUCUUCUAUAAAGAGGGUCAGUGUAUGCAUCAACUAUAAUCUAUAUUUCAUUCUGCAUAGCUUCCAUAUCAUGUCAAGCAUGUGCAUAUUAAACAUGUGACAGCAUAAUCUAAUCUUAAAGAAGAUCAAUUCAAAAUCAAAAGAAUGGCUCUAUCCAUUUCUGGGCAACUUUGUCAUGGUUUACGGUGACAUAUGUUCAUCCAUUAAGAAAAAAAAAGCAAGCGUACAGGUGAAAUUCACAGCGUGAGACAUCUGAGAACCAUAUUAACAGAUUCAACAAUCAAUGGUAGAGUUUUUUUUUAACUUUAAUAAGAUUUUUCGAUCAUGUAAAUUGGGUGUUUCAUCUUAUAAUCAUUUUCCUUCUACACAAAAAUCAUUAUAUUUUUCUUUUAUGUACUUUUACAAAUAUGAUUUUUGAUUAAUGCAAUGGAUCCUGGUAAAUGUUCUCAAGCAAGCAUGCGUAUUCCUUGAUGGACUAAACCAUGAUAAAGACCGGCAUAAAGGGUGCUGUAAACAUGCCUAGAAAAGCGUCUGACAUGUUAGCUAGAUCUAUGACACUGUGUUUUCUAAUGCCAAUAGCUCAUCAAAGUUUUCAAUUUUAUAUUUUGGCUUUGCGAAUAAGCUGAAAUUAUCGUGCAUUUCAAAAUAUUUUAAAGCUCUCGGAAUAUGAACCUUUUAGUUAAACAUUAGAAAGGUCCAAAAUUUUGAAUCACAACAAAGAAAAAACAAAAACUGAGAAUAAAUGGUCGUGACAAGUUCUGCAAAUUGAUUCAGAUACACUAAUGUGUUGAUUAAUAAAAUAAAGAGUUCUAUAACUAAUUCAAUGAAUUAGUCUAAGACCCUACAAAAUCUCUAAAUUUCUUGUAUAUAUACUAAAACUUUCCAAAGCAUAACAAGAACUAAAGAAAACAGCUUAGUUUACCGGUUUCACGAAGGCAUCAGCUGGCUCCUCUUUGCCACAGAUUCCAUCCCUCCAAAUGGCCACGACGUCCUACCACCUCGCCGCCGCCGCCGCCGCCGCCGCAUCCAUCCGCACCGCAGGCGAGGACUACGGCGUUAUCUCCCCGGCAUCGGCGGCCGAUCGGCGCCGCCCACCAGCACGUCCGCUUCGAGAGCCAUCAAGAUCGAAGGAGAAUUUGGCCAUCAAUUCGGGAGCGAUCGAAAUGCGAGGAGAUCGAAAAGCGAGGAUGAAGUGAGAGAGCUAAACCCUAGCGAGGUCGCGUUAAGAAGAAAAAGGGGCUUUAGGUUGAC